AUUGAACGCUGGCGGAAUGCUUUACACAUGCAAGUCGAACGGCAGCACGGACUUCGGUCUGGUGGCGAGUGGCGAACGGGUGAGUAAUGUAUCGGAACGUGCCCAGUCGUGGGGGAUAACGUAGUGAAAAUUACGCUAAUACCGCAUACGAUCUAUGGAUGAAAGCGGGGGAUCGCAAGACCUCGCGCGAUUGGAGCGGCCGAUAUCAGAUUAGGUAGUUGGUGGGGUAAAGGCCCACCAAGCCAACGAUCUGUAGCUGGUCUGAGAGGACGACCAGCCACACUGGACCUGAGACACGGUCCAGACUCCUACGUGAGGCAGCAGUGGGGAAUUUUGGACAAUGGGCGAAAGCCUGAUCCAGCCAUUCCGCGUGCAGGAUGAAGGCCCUCGGGUUGUAAACUGCUUUUGUACAGAAUGAAAAGGUUUCUACUAAUACUAGGAGCUCAUGACGGUACUGUAAGAAUAAGCACCGGCUAACUACGUGCCAGCCGCCGCCGUAA
rnacentral:rRNA from 1 species